UCACAUCUGAAAGAACUGAAUCUGUCUGAGAAUAAACUAAGAGAUUCAGGAGUGAAGCUGCUCUCUGAUGUACUGAAGAAUCCUCACUGUAAACUGAAGAUACUGUGCUCUACUACAUUCCUCGUUCCACCAAGAUUUCUACCAUUAUACACUCCAUAUCCUCAGGACAAGGGAGUUUUCUAUAUGCCAACCCAUCCUUCAGAAAGGU